ACUCACUGAGUAAACUAGUUACUCAUGAAUCAUUUGAUAUGCAGGUAACCAGUAGGUGGGAGACCUUUACUCUAGGACGGGAAGGAACGACAUUAGCCAGCGGUAGUUUUAUUAUCCGUGCAGUCGUUUUGAUAUACUUUAUGUAUAAGGUUUGUUGACCGAAAACCUAGAGGUUAAUCUAUAAGAUUUUGUAAGAUUCUUUUAAAUGAAUAAGUAUAUAGUGUAUAAAGAAUGUUUUUAAAGUACAGGUUCCAAAUGAUAUUAGUCCUUGUCCGGACGAACCAACUAUUGGGUAUUACUCUUAAGGUUGUAAAGCCUCGGGUUGUACCUAAUAGGAUAUGUGUACUUAGGCGGUUGGCCUAAGGUACCUGGAUUUAUUUCGGGAACUUCGGGUUAGUCGUUUAUGUACACAUUGUGGCUUCUCGGUUUGGUUUCAGUUACGAGUGAUCGGCUAUGCAUGUUCUUGUUUGAUUGUUGCACGGCUGGUCGAGUCAACUUAUACUUAGACCAGAUCGGGGGUGUCACAUAGGUGGUAUCAGAGCAUGGUUAUACGUUGCUUGAAUGGGACUUGUUUCAAAUGUUUUUCGAGUCAAAAUGAGUCGCAAGGAUAAUUAGGAUGUGAUGGCUUGUUCCUUCAUUUUGGGAUAGAUAGUCAUGGGUAGUUACCUAACAAUGAUUUUUCAUAGCAGA
rnacentral:lncRNA from 1 species